rnacentral:lncRNA from 1 species
AUAUGCGCAAUAUAUGAAACUUUACAUCGAGUAAAUUGUAUUGGGAUAGUUGGUUUGAUUUUUCAAGUUCUGUGCAUGUCAGCACAAAUAUGGGCAGGAUAAUUUCUUAAAGAAGAGGUUUUUUUAAUAUUCAAGAUCUCGAUAACUUUAAUAUACAUCAUGUUCUGAUGGAUAACAGUAGUACAGUUAUGACCUUCUUCGAAGAAGAAAUGAAGGAUGUUUGCCCAGCUAUGCAAGGAGUAGAACACUUUUACAUUGACAUGCAUUAACUUUUUUUUAAA